UUGGUUCAGCUGUUCAUGAAUUGCUUUAUAGCAAUGUAAAAGUUUUCAAAAGGACACAGCAGAGGAGGUAAUGAUGUAGCUGUAUUAUUUUUCCAUGUGGUCCAUUAUCUUGUAUGUGCUUAUUGGAUAUAAGUUUCUGGCGAGGUGAUCCAGUUGGAUUUGUCUCUGAUACUUUUCUAUAUCCUUAUAUCUAUUACUGCUAAAUGUGCAGCUGCGACUGCAUAAAGUUAAUUUCCACCCCCUUCCUGCUCUGAAAGUCUCUUGUUCCUUUUGUUCCUUUAGCAGAUUUAAGUUAAUCAUCUUUACAGCCCAUUAUACCUUUUGUUAAGUUGUUACAACUUACUAUGUCAACUGAUAUCAUUCUUCUCAUGAUGAUUCACUUUUCAGUUCCAACUUUAUUUCUGCAAAUAAAGUUUUCAUCAUUACACUAAAGAGAGGGUGAAGGAUGCAUCCUUUUUCCGAUAAUAAGUGCCCUUUGGAUAUGCAUGUGUUUUCAUCAUUACACUAAAGAGGUAGAAGUGAAGAAUGCAUCGUUUUGCCGAUAAUAAGUGCCCUCAGGAUAUGCAUGUGGUUCUGUGGAUAUUCUAGCUAUGUUUGGUUCAGAUUUUGUGCAACUCUUCACAGAUGGAGCAUAUAAGAACCCGUCUGUUUUUUGGAUUGUGAGCUACAGUGUCUGGCCAGAGAGCCCAUUCAUGUCAUUCGGGCUUCAGAAUUAUGGUUUGAAGGAUGUGGGCGGGGUUGCAUGCCUGUGGCCAAGUCAAGCUCCUCAAUCGACAUCUUUGAUCUGAAUCUGGCUGGCAACUGCUGCAGCGCCGUAUACUGUGCUGUGUCAGGGAUCAUUGCAGCCAUGCAUGCUGACAGCAGGGCCUUUGGUCAAGUCGUCUUCAGUUUCAUGUCAUGGCUGCUGAUGCGACGCUGUGGCUUUCGGUCAGAUUCUAUGUGGGUUUGGUUGUGCUUAGAGGAAUGAAUGGGGCAGAAAGUGGCUGAUGGCUCGGCAUGUUGUGAGGCUGUGAUUUCUCUGCUGGAGCUGCAGGAGGGAAGAUGGCAUGCGUAGAAGCAGGGAAGCACCACCCAGAUAUUAACCACCCAAGUUGAAUGAUCCAAAGAGUAGUAACAAGUGGUGCUAGCUGGCCAGUGGAUUUUACAAUGGUGUAAAGGAGUAAUGGCAGAAUCAAUGAAUGGUCAUCCUUUUGCGUGCAUGGGUUUUGCCUGUCAAUUCUCUGCCAACAUAUGUGGAGCGAGUCCCCAGUUAUCAGCUGUGGACAUUGCAGUUUGAAGCGAAGUCAUGCUCGAGUUCACAGUGAGGAUACACAGCCACCACUGCCCCUUGCCGCAGGCCACUGCUAUGGUGGCGGGCUGGUGUUGACAUUGCCGCUCCUGGUGUUGGGACCAGAUUGGACUAUGCACAUCUGACAGGGCAUGAGCCCAUUUGGCAUCAGCCCCGGGUGCUACCUGUCAGGUUCAGCCUCAGCUACCUUGAGUGCUGGGAACCCUACUACAUGAUCCAAGGAUCUGGGCAGCACUGCCUGUCGCAGCCAGCACAGCCUAUGCAGCACCAUUGGUAUCCCUUCCCCAACUACACCGGUGGAUACAUUUGCUGGUGCUGGAGUGGUUACCAACUAUCCAUGCCUUGCCCAAGGAUGCUAAGCUAUUAUUAGAUAUUGACAAAGGCGCACCCUUCUGGAUAUAUGGCAUUUGUACAAAUAAACCUGCUACUUAUUAAAAUUCUUGGAUGUUUCCUUGAGGCAGAGUUCCACUACUUGUUUAUGAUUUAGUGCCAAUGGUAGCCUUUUCAGCCAUCUUCAUAUUUAGCUCCCAUAUCAUAGCUAGGAAAGAUAGAGUAAGGAUUGCAGUUGAAACUGCCAUGGCAACUGCGUACCUCCACUCAAUUUGUAUCAAUGCCAGUGGUCUCAGAUCUGUAUCAAGGUUCUGAAUAUUCUUCUUGUUGAUACUGUAACUGUGAAAUUCUAGGGCUUUGGGUCUUCAAGGUAAAUGUUCUCAAAUUGAUCAAACAUGUGCUUCUUUGUAGUUACAAGCUGGGAUUAGUAGUCAUAUGGAACAUGAUUUGCAGAUUGAAUUUCCUCCAAGUGUCUGAACUCUACAUGGAUCCACUGUAUCUCUGGAUUGAAACUCUUGACAGGAGAUGCACCUUAUUUUUCUGAUUGGGAGCUUUAUAAUAAGUGCAGUCGGAGAUCUUUCUUACAGAUUCUUGGACAGGUGAGCCCAACCAUGUAAUUACAAAGGAUAAACACCUGUUUGUUGACGUGGACUUCACCUGCUUGUUGUUUAAUCUUUUCUUGCAAUGAUGACAAGGAAAGAAGGCAAACAUCUGGCAGUUAGGUUUCCUGCUUGUCAAUCUGUUAUGCAGGCAGACUUGAUUUUGUAGCACAAUGUUAGCACUUGGACUUAGCGUCGCAGCAAUAUUUGAGAUGUAUAAAAGUGGCACACUUCGGUUGA